UCUGGUGUGCAGCCGCGGCGCUCCCGUCUGCUCCAGGCCUUACCAGAGCUUACCGUGACGCACCUUGGGUUGUCCAAUGUGGAGCCAUGCCAGCCAGUGCCGGUGGUCCCCCUUGCUGAGAACCUCGGCUGCCCCCAGCCUGGAGGACGACGGGUCUGACUGUGGAGGGAUGUAGGAGUUCCUGGGCGGCUGGUGGUGGCAUGUCCCUUGUUCCAGAACGAACCAUCCAGAGGAACCGGGUGGAUUUCACACGGGGAUUAAUGGUUCCUACCGCUGCCGCUUCAAAUGCCGUCUGGAAAACACACAGGUGCAGCCUCUCCGACUUUUCACUAGAACCUCCUGAAGACGCAGACAAAGGUGAAAAUAAUGCAAGAGGGAAACUAAGAACACCGCCCACAGCCCCGCCAAGGCAGAGUCUUCGAGGGAGGGCGCUAGCGAAGAGCUGGGGCCUGGGCGUCCCGACACGGCCUGGGCGUGGAACGUCUCACAGCACAGGGUCCACCCGUGGACGAGACAGUGGAGGAAACAGAAGUUUGGCUGAGAAGGAAAUUCAAUUCUUCCAGUACAUCUCCCCACUGAGCUCGUGUGACCAUCCUCAUCCCCAACCUCGCCUGCCUGCAGCCGACUCGGAUCUGACGUUCCAGGGAGGCUAAAGGGGUACGUGCGUGUGUGGUUUUAAGAGCGUCUGAUAAGCCCAAAGAAAGCCCAGCUGGCAGCAGGUCCAUUGGCAAUCAAUACUCCAGAGUCAGCAACUAUCUCCGCACAGUUUCCUUCUCCAAGAACGGAACUUGCCGCUGAUCCAAACUCCUAAGACUCUCCUGGGAUCCAGAGUGUGCCGGCGUUUUUCUCCAGUUCCUUCCCGGUUCGCAGCACAGCAUGGAUAAGCAGAGCUGGAAGCAUGCAGUGUGCCUUCAUUUGGAACAUCUCCAGCAACUUCCGCAGGGCCCCACGGGGAGUGGAUGAGGGUCUCCGGGUUUCUAUGAGAAUGUGCCACCUGCUGCCACACGAUUCGAUGUCCACGACCAUCACGGAAUGUUAAAAUGAGACUUUUCUGCCUCCACAUUUGAGCUGAGAAUGACACAAUGCCAAGAAUCAAUUUCCUACAAGGAGGGGACAGAUCACUGACGUGGAAAGUGACACUAAAGGGUUUUCCCAGCACUGUGCUGGGUCCAAACCUCUGCGAAUUGAGGCCAGGUGGGGGCUGUACGGGGGUGAUCUGGCGCUCCCUGGGGGUCAUUGUCAGUAUGCAGGGCACCCCCCACACCUGCCUGGGCCAGGGUGGAGGCUUCUGCACACCUGGAGCCAGGUGAGCAGGGCUUCAGAGGGGCCCACUGCGAAGCUGGACCCCUGUCCUCUGGGACCUAGGAGCGGGAGGCCUGACUCACACCAGAGAGGUCUCGAGGCCACGGCGUUCGGUGACCUGAAGAGGCAGAGCCCAGGGAGGCCUUGGGCAAAGGCAAGUGUGCCUGGAACCUCGUCAGUACCUGCAAGGUUUGAGCCAACUUCAGAAGAUUACUCUUUCUACCUGUGUAUGAGUAGAUUAAAUCCCACCCCCCAUGGAACUGAUAACAGAGGAAAGAUGGCUGGGGAGUGAAGGAGGCCACCAGGGGGAGGGGUCUGUGAAGGAAACUCACUCUUGCCCCUUCCCCAUGAGGUCAUAAGGAGCGAGUUUGUUGAUCCAGGAAAACCUCCAGGACAUUAGGUGUGAGUGACAGGUUGAACACAGUCUUAGACUGGAUUAGUAGGAUCAGCUCCCGGUGGGCAGCCUUCUUUGUUAAAAUCAUAUUGAAAAAGCAGGCUGGGCGCGGUGACUCACGCCUGCAAUCCUGGCACUUUGGGAGGCUGAGGCAGGAGGAUCACUUGAG